CGAGAAUCACAUAAAAAUUUUUUUGAAGCCUGUAUACUAAAGCAAUUCAAACUUAUAUAAUAAAAAGGCUUUCACAUUCCAUUCAGAAACGUAAGUAAAAAUUAACGGGAUAAAUAAUAUCAUAAAACACAGCAAAAAGCUUGAUCUCCCAAGCUCACAACAAGAGCUGCUGCAACACAACAACAAUCCAAAUUUGUUCAGAAAAUUUUGUGAAUACAACUCUAUAAAAGACAACAUAAAUCGAUGAAAACGGACUCAUUAAUCUUUGCGGUAUGCCUAUUCAAAAAAAAAAACUUCUCAAUUCAUUGAACCGUUGUAGUUGUAAGUAAAAAGCAUGUCAAAAGAUCAUUCUAUACGUAAGGAAUAUGGUUGAAAUGAAUGCAACGCACUGUGUCGCAUGAAACGGGUUCAGAUGAUUUGAGGGCCCUGAUAUACAAUGUGCUUUCUUCCUGAAAUCUUUGGAUUUGAAAACAUCCCAAAGUUAAGUCGGACUCGGAAUUUUCUAAGUAAGCAGAUGUUGAAUUGACAACUUUCUCAAUAUCCGUUGAUUGCAAAGUUGGAAUGCAUUUACUGCCUACUACAUCCAUACAUAAAGAAAUAUCUUCAAAUUCGUACGCAACAUUCUGCAUGCACAACUUUUCACCACUAAUAAAAGUCACUAAAUAUAAUU